rnacentral:rRNA from 1 species
UAGGGAAUCUUCGGCAAUGGGGGGAACCCUGACCGAGCAACGCCGCGUGAGUGAAGAAGGCUUUCGGAUCGUAAAGCUCUGUUGUUAAGGAAGAACGAGUGUGAGAAUGGAAAGUUCAUGCUGUGACGGUACUUAACCAGAAAGGGACGGCUAACUACGUGCCAGCAGCCGCGGUAAUACGUAGGUCCCGAGCGUUGUCCGGAUUUAUUGGGCGUAAAGCGAGCGCAGGCGGUUAGAAAAGUCUGAAGUGAAAGGCAGUGGCUCAACCAUUGUAGGCUUUGGAAACUGUUUAACUUGAGUGCAGAAGGGGAGAGUGGAAUUCCAUGUGUAGCGGUGAAAUGCGUAGAUAUAUGGAGGAACACCGGUGGCGAAAGCGGCUCUCUGGUCUGUAACUGACGCUGAGGCUCGAAAGCGUGGGGAGCGAACAGG